ensembl:lncRNA
UUGCCAUAGAAAUAUAAUUCUAGUGAAAUACAAUUCUAAAGUUCUAGUGACAUGAACUGUAUUCUAAAAUAGGUUUAUCGAUCACUUUUCUCACACACGCAGAUCUUGUUAUCUGUAGGCUGUUGUGGAUUCGUAUAGUUUAAGUAUAUUUUUAGGUCCUGGGAUCAACAACUGGAGAAAUUCAAGAGAUCCCAUGAGUAAUAAUGAAAAAUUAUGAGAUUAAGAUGAUGUACUCUUGUUUUUAGCUUUUGUCGCAAAUUACUUUUCUUUUUAAAAAUCCAGUUGCCUACAUGACUGAUACAAACGCUCAAGUCCCAGGGCUGGAGGACCAGCAUAGAACUUCUUCCUCCAGUUCCUCUGGCUGUAGGGAGACAAGUCAGGCUGCAGUGGCCUCUGGAUCCAGAGUCAGUGGAGAGCAGCGUCCUCAGAAACCAAGCAAACAGCGCUCCCAACAGGGCUUCAGUGUACUACAGAAACUGUCUGCGGAAGAACAGAGGAUCGCAAAUGAAUGUCUACAUGGUGUGAUUAGUUUGGAGGACCUGAGUCACGCCUCGGAUGGCAUCAUCGACUGGGUGUUGACCAUCACCACUGAAGUUCUCCUCCCUUCCAUCUCCCUGUGCAAAGCUCUGAGAAGCAGAUCCACCUCCAGAUCCUCUAGGACCUCCUCCAGCACUAAGCAGGAUCCACAGAGAAGGACCCCAUCAGAGGCCUCACUGCUACAGGCCCCAUCAACAUCAAC